rnacentral:lncRNA from 1 species
AGCUGCCCACAGUCAUCCUUCUCCAUCCCACUGACCUUCCACCCGUGACCAAUCAGGAGAUGUUUCCAGUUUAUUGGUGAAUUUAUUAGGGCUCAGAGAGGAUGACCUAUCCAAGGUCCCACUGCCAACUGAAUGUAGGACAAGUCUCUGAACCCAGUGUGCCCCUGCCAGAAAGUAGCAGGGAUCACAGAAGUCCAGCAGAGGUCUGCCGCCUUGGACCCCGCCUCUUACACAUUGAGUGUGGUUUCUGCAGUGAUGAUAGAUCCUCCGAAUGAGGAACAAUGUAUUCUUCUUUUCUCCUAAUUCUCCUAAAAAAUCCACUUGGGAGAUACCUGCUGCAAAACUUAAAGGCAACCAUAUUCUGUACUUAGAUGAAGUGUUUGUCAAGCUCCCUGGAAAAGAGAAUCAAAGGACCCUGACUUGUUUACUCUGCCUUCUGGAAGAAAAAAGUGAUGAGAGAGAGUGGCAAUCUCACACCAUGCUGAAAAGCGCCCCCCAACUAACUCAGAUCCAUGCGUCCCUUUGGGCCCUGAGGAAUAAUACUGCUGGUUUAAUUCAAGAUAUAAAACCAAUAAAAAUGGUUUACCUAAAGGAUAUGCCACAAUGGCCGUAUGUGAAACAAUAUCCUUUGUCCUGAGCUCGGUUUGAGAGAAUCAAACCCAUUAUAAAAGAAUUAGAAAAACAAGGGAUACUUCUAUAAAAGGUAGCCUCACCUUGUCAUACUCCCAUACUUCCAGUAAGCAAGGAAAGUAAAUUUGGUAAAGAUGGUUGACCAUUGUGUAGAUUUGUACAAGAUCUUUGAGAAGUAAAUGAAUUUGUAGUUCCUAAUCCUGCAACUAUUUUGACUUUGUUUCUGUUGUCUGUAAUGUGUUCUGCUUUUUCUUCCUGUUCCUGUCCAAACCCUUGUUUGCUUUUACCUACAAAGGAGUUCAAUACUUAACUUAGUAAAGAAUUUCUCAAGGAUUUCAGGACUCUCCUACUCUUUUCUCUAGCAAUUUACAGGAAAUAUUAGGGAAAUUUGUCCCACCAGAGAAAUUUAUAAUUAUCCUGUCAACGAAAAGAGUCAAACUCUGUAAAAUAUUUGAAGAGAUUUAUUCUGAGCCAAACAUGAGGACCAAUGACAUGUGACAUAGCCCUAGGAGAUCCUAAGAACAUGCACCCAAGGUGAUUGGGCCAUAACUUGGUUUCAUACAUUCUAGGGAGACAAGACAACAAUCAAUACAUGUAAGAUGGCUGGGCAUGGUGGCUCACACCUGUAAUCCCAGCAUUUUGGGAGGCCGAGGCGGGUGGAUCAAAAGGUCAGGAGUUCAAGACCAGCUUGAACAACAUGGUGAAACCUCAUCUCUACUAAAAAUACAAAAAUUAUCCAGGUGUGGUGGCGUGCACCUGUAAUCCCAGCUAUUAAGGAGGCUGAGGCAGGAGAAUUGCUUGAACCCAGGAAGCAGAGGUUAUGGUAAGCCGAGAUCACGCCACUGCACUCCAGCCUGGGUGACAGAGCAAGACUCUGUCUCAAAAUAAUAAUAAUACAUGUAAGAUAUACAUUGGUUUGGUGCCGAAAGGUGAGACAACUCAAAGAGGGGGCUUCCAGGUCAUAGGUGAAUUCAGAGAUUUUCUAAUUGGCAACUGGUUGAAAGAGUUAUUAUCUAAAGACCUGGAAUCCAUAGAAGAGAAUAUCUGGGUUAAGAUAAGGGGUUUGGGAAAUCAAGGUUCUUAUUAUGCAGAUGAUGCCUUCAGGUAGCAGACUUCAGAGAGAAUAGAUUGUACAUGUUUUUUUAUCAGAC